rnacentral:rRNA from 1 species
UACGGGGGGGGCAAGCGUUGUUCGGAAUUACUGGGCGUAAAGGGUUUGUAGGUGGCUUGCUAAGUCAGACGUGAAAUCCCUCAGCUUAACUGGGGAACUGCGUCUGAGACUGGCGAGCUUGAGUGCAGGAGAGGAACGCGGAAUUCCAGGUGUAGCGGUGAAAUGCGUAGAUAUCUGGAGGAACACCGGUGGCGAAGGCGGCAUCCUGGACCAACACUGACGCUGAGGAGCGAAAGCCAGGGGAGCAAACGGG